rnacentral:lncRNA from 1 species
GUCAUUUGGGUUUUUUUUUAAUGAUUUUUAAUUCGGGGAUUUUGUUGUUGUUGUUUUUAUUAACGAGGUUUUAAUUGAGGUUUUAAUGAGGGGUUUUUUUUUGAAUUUGGGGCUUGGGAUUCCUGUGAAUCCGUUUAAUUUCUGGUUGAUUUCCGCGGUUCGUUUCUUAAUUGCUUUAAUUGGCCGAUUUUCAGUUCCUCCCCCAUUUCCUUCCUCAGGCUUUGAUUCCGUUUCCGUUUCCGAUCCUUUAUUUCUUUUAUUAUUAUUAUAGUUUCUUUUAUUUCCUGUUUAGUUUCCUGUUAAUUUCCUGUUAAUUUCCUGUUAAUUUCCUGUUAAUUUCCUGUUAAUUUCCUUUUCUAUUUGUUUCCUUCUUUCUUUGUUUCCGUUUUGCUCCUUUUUUAUUUCCUUUUUUACUUAUUUCCUUCUUUAUUGAUUUCCCAUUUGAUUUCCUUUUAGAUUUCCUUUUAAUUUCUUUUUUAUUUCCUUUUUAUUUGUUUCCUUUUUAAUUUUUUCCCUUUUAAUUUCCCUUUUAAUUUCGUUUUUAAUUUCGUUUUUAAUUUCGUUUUUAAUUUAGUUUUUAAUUUUUUUUAUUAUUUUCUUUUAAUUUCCUUUUGAUUUCCUUUUAAUUUUCUUUAUUAUUUCCUUUAUUAUUUCCUUUUGAUUUCCUUUUGAUUUCCUUUUGAUUUCAAUUUCCUUUUGAUUUCCUUUUGAUUUCCUUUUGAUUUCCUUUUGAUUUCAAUUUCCUUUUAAUUUCCUUUUGAUUUCCUUUUGAUUUCAAUUUCCUUUUAAUUUCCUUUUGAUUUCCUUUUAAUUUCCUCUUUAUUUCCUCUUGAUUUCCUCUUGAUUUCCCUUUCAUUUCCCCUUAUCCCCCCCUCCCUUCUUGCUGGGCUGUCAGCUCUCCCAAUUAACGGCGCCGUUAAUCACCUCCCUUUUCUCCUUCCGUUACCUUGGGGCCGUUUGGGGCGUUUUUGGGGUUUCUGCUGCGGGAUUUUUGGGGUCCUUUGGUGCCUUGGGGCCGUUUGGGGCUUUUGGGCUCUUUGUGGGUUUCUUCGGGUUCUUCUUUGGGUUUGGGGCCAUUUUGCUGCUUUUGGGGCCAUUUUGUCCCUUUUGUGUCAAUUUCAGUGGGGUUUUUGGGGCCAUUUUGGUGCUUUUGGGGCCAUUUUGUCCCUUUUGUGUCAAUUUCAGUGGGGUUUUGGGUCCAUUUUGUCCCUAUUGGGGCCAUUUUGGUGCUUUUGGGGCCAUUUUAUCACCUUUGGGGCCAUUUUGUCCUUUUUGUGUCGAUUUCAGUGGGGUUUUGGGGGCCAUUUUGUCCCUAUUGGGGCCAUUUUGGAGCUUUUGGGGCCAUUUUAUCGCUUUUGGGGCCAUUUUGUC